rnacentral:rRNA from 1 species
CAGUCGCCGCGGUAAUACGUAGGUGGCAAGCGUUGUCCGGAAUUAUUGGGCGUAAAGGGAGCGCAGGCGGACAUAUAAGUCCAUCUUAAAAGUGCGGGGCUCAACCCCGUGAGGGGAUGGAAACUGUAUGCCUUGAGUGCAGGAGAGGAAAGCGGAAUUCCCAGUGUAGCGGUGAAAUGCGUAGAUAUUGGGAGGAACACCAGUGGCGAAGGCGGCUUUCCGGACUGUAACUGACGCUGAGGCUCGAAAGCCAGGGGAGCGAACGGGAUUAGAUACCCGGGUAGUCCCUGUCUCUUAUACA